UACGUAGGUGGCAAGCGUUAUCCGGAUUUACUGGGUGUAAAGGGCGUGUAGGCGGGAGAGCAAGUCAGACGUGAAAUUCCAGGGCUCAACCCUGGAACUGCGUUUGAAACUGUUCUUCUUGAGUGAUGGAGAGGCAGGCGGAAUUCCGUGUGCAGCGGUGAAAUGCGUAGAUAUACGGAGGAACACCAGUGGCGAAGGCGGCCUGCUGGACAUUAACUGACGCUGAGGCGCGAAAGCGUGGGGAGCAAACAGG
rnacentral:rRNA from 1 species